UUCUGUUUCGUCGCGCUUUCC
rnacentral:piRNA from 1 species